rnacentral:rRNA from 1 species
GGAAUCUUGCACAAUGGAGGAAACUCUGAUGCAGCGAUGCCGCGUGAGUGAAGAAGGCCUUUGGGUUGUAAAGCUCUUUUGUAGGGGAAGAUAAUGACUGUACCCUAAGAAUAAGGUCCGGCUAACUUCGUGCCAGCAGCCGCGGUAAUACGAAGGGACCUAGCGUAGUUCGGAAUUACUGGGCGUAAAGCGCGCGUAGGCCGUUGAGUUAGUUAAUUGUGAAAUCCCAAAGCCUAACUUUGGAACUGCAAUUAAAACUGCUCGACUAGAGUUUGAUAGAGGAAAGCGGAAUACAUAGUGUAGAGGUGAAAUUCGUAGAUAUUAUGUAGAACACCAGUUGCGAGGGCGGCUUUCUGGAUCAACACUGACGCUGAGGCGCGAAAGUAUGGGUAGCAAAGAGGAUUAGAUACCCUCGUAGUCCAUACCAUAAACGAUGAUUGCUAGAUGUUGGAAAUUUAUUUUCAGUUUCGCAGCUAACGCAUUAAGCAAUCCGCCUGGGGAGUACGACCGCAAGGUUAAAACUCAAAUGAAUUGACGGA